UGCAGCUCAUCUCCUAGACAACAACAGAGUGAUGCAACAAACAGAAGGGACCUGCCAACUCAUAGCUGAACCACCAGGGCAGGACCGUUGGUGCCAGCCCAGGAUGUGAUGGUGGUUGAGGGGUGGCUGACGUCCAUCAGGGCUCCAGCCCAGAACAUCCACUCUACAUAGUUACCACCAUGUGCCCCGAAGGACCAGAGGAAUCCACCUCCCAGUCCUGGCAGGGUGACCAGGAGCAGGAAACCUUGCAGGCAGCUGGAAGAGCAUGACCCGCAGACUUAACGGCUGUUGCUUUCAGAACAGACUGAAGAGAGCCAGAGUGCAGGCGGGAAACUGUUACAAUAACCCAGGCCUAGGGAUGUGCUCGGAUGCAGCUGAACCGUGCAGAUAAGGACAAUGCUGGGAAAGGAAGCUGGUUCCCUGAGCGAGGGUGUGGAGCAAAGCCUGACAUAUUCCAGUUACCACUCACCUCAGGACAGCUUCACGAAUAAGAAAUAAACUUCUGUCUUCUUUAAUCCA
rnacentral:lncRNA from 1 species